rnacentral:tRNA from 1 species
GGGCCUGUAGCGCAGUGGUCGACGCGCCCUCCCACAGGGGAGGGAGAACGCCGGUUCGAAUCCGGCCGGUCCCG